AGUUCAAAGAAAAAGUGAGCUGUCACUCAUCAAUCAUGUCUCACACCAACAUCACAACAUUGGCCGUAACUAGGCAGGUUUUCGAACAAUGGAAUCGAGCGUUGCUUCACUCCCUUCCUAUUUUAUAUAGAACCUAAAUACGAAGUUAGGUUCGGAGAGCGUUCGGGCUAGUCACGAACACUCAAGACGCUAUGGUUACUCAGUACUGUUCAAAUGUUUCAAGAGUUGAAAACAACCAUCGCGUGGGUUUUUAGACAAGAGAAAUAGAAAGAUAACGAAAAAGGAUUUCGCUGAAUUGGGAGGCAGGAGACAUUUCGCACAAAGCCUAUUAGGCGAAGGGAGAAAUGACAGUGAAACAGGAGAGAAUUAGCAUGGCCCGCUAGUGCUGAUUACGACAUUUAACUGAGAAGGUACUCACCGAUCAAAUCAAAUCCCGGAGGUGAAAAGAACAAAAAAGAAGUGAUAAAGCUCUCUUUGCACAAGUCGAGCGAAUGAAGACGGCUUCACGAAGGCUGAGGUUCAAAAGACAGAGGAAAAGUUAGCCAUGACAUAAGCAACCAAGUAACGGAGUCACAACCGACAACCAAAUUCAGCUUACCGCUUGUGUUGGUUAUUGACGCUAAAAUGUCAAUACAAUGAUGAAGCUUGCUAUUGACAAUUUAAGCGAUAGUAGACGGUAACACGCAGGUUCUAUAAGUCCAAAAGCCAGUAAAUGUGAACCUCGCUAAACACGCAAACAGGAAAUUCUACUAAGUGAAAGUGAAAGGAUUGGCGCGGGACUUCCCUUAUUAGUAUGCAGGAACAUUACGUCAUGUGGGUACCAGGCUUUCUCAAGAGGAAAAUACACAGAAAACCAACCAGCAGAAGAUGGCGGCCCACCCGCAGACACUGGGCCAGACGCUCCGACAGACCAGCCUGCAAGCGAGGCCCCAGUAGAACAAGAUACCGCGCCUGCGCAAGAUGAGGCACCAGCUGAGGAGACUCCAAAGGAAUGAGCCGAUAGUUUAAGUAUCUGUAUUAGUGGUAGGAAUCUUUUACUGCCGAAAAAAAUUGGUGGUGUACUUUUAAUUUUUGAACUUGAAUUACAUUUUCAAUCAUCCAACAGUAAAAUCUGCUAUAUGGAUGAUAUUUUCCGCGGGGUUGAUAUAGAGUACAGAUAAAGAUGAAUACAAUCUUAAGUUAUUAUUUCAAAUUUUGCCUAUAUUAUCAAAUAUAAGGUUUAAAUCAUCUUACAUCAUUGAGAUAUGUCAGAAUAAACCUUUUAACGGCUACACAAUGCAAAAAGGUAAUAAAAACGUUUAUAAUCCUUUUUCUGGUAAGAAUUUCCGCCAUCUUCUUGGGUCUGUUAUCUUGGAUCUGCCAUCUUGGAUUCUUAUGUUUUUUGCCAAAAAAAAUCUGGAAUUAUUACAGAAAAAAAGUAUUUGCAUGCAUGUGUAACCGUCGGAACUUGACAUUUACCGUGCGGUUACGAAAAAUGUAGAAACAAAUGCAAUACUGAAGGCAAAACUAUCAGGUUCUGACACCAGCCAAAAAGUAGG